UACGGGGGGGGCAAGCGUUGUUCGGAAUUACUGGGCGUAAAGGGCUCGUAGGUGGCCAACUAAGUCAGACGUGAAAUCCCUCGGCUUAACCGGGGAACUGCGUCUGAUACUGGAUGGCUUGAGUUCGGGAGAGGGAUGCGGAAUUCCAGGUGUAGCGGUGAAAUGCGUAGAUAUCUGGAGGAACACCGGUGGCGAAGGCGGCUACCUGGACCGGUUCUGACGCUGAUGCGCGAAAGCGUGGGUAGCAAACAGG
rnacentral:rRNA from 1 species